rnacentral:tRNA from 1 species
GAGGUGUUAACUUAAAUUUAAAGUGCUAGACUUUUAAUCUAGAAAUGUUUUUUUCACAUCUUA